UACGGGGGGGGCAAGCGUUGUUCGGAAUUACUGGGCGUAAAGCGCGCGUAGGCGGUUACUCAAGUCGGAUGUGAAAGCCCUCGGCUUAACUGAGGAAGUACACCCGAAACUGAGUAGCUAGAGUACUAAAGAGGGUCGCGGAAUUCCCGGUGUAGAGGUGAAAUUCGUAGAUAUCGGGAGGAACACCGGUGGCGAAGGCGGCGACCUGGGUAGAUACUGACGCUGAGGCACGAAAGCGUGGGGAGCAAACAGG
rnacentral:rRNA from 1 species